rnacentral:rRNA from 1 species
AUUGAACGCUGGCGGCAGGCUUAACACAUGCAAGUCGAGCGGAGAGAGGUAGCUUGCUACUGAUCUUAGCGGCGGACGGGUGAGUAAUGCUUAGGAAUCUGCCUAUUAGUGGGGGACAACAUUUCGAAAGGAAUGCUAAUACCGCAUACGUCCUACGGGAGAAAGCAGGGGAUCUUCGGACCUUGCGCUAAUAGAUGAGCCUAAGUCGGAUUAGCUAGUUGGUGGGGUAAAGGCCUACCAAGGCGACGAUCUGUAGCGGGUCGGAGAGGAUGAUCCUCCACACUGGGACUGAGACACGGCCCAGACUCCUACGGGAGGCAGCAGUGGGGAAUAUUGGACAAUGGGCGGAAGCCUGAUCCAGCCAUGCCGCGUGUGUGAAGAAGGCCUUAUGGUUGUAAAGCACUUUAAGCGAGGAGGAGGCUACUUUAGUUAAUACCUAGAGAUAGUGGACGUUACUCGCAGAAUAAGCACCGGCUAACUCUGUGCCAGCCGCCGCCGUAAAAC